rnacentral:rRNA from 1 species
UACGUAGGGUGCGAGCGUUGUCCGGAAUUAUUGGGCGUAAAGAGCUCGUAGGCGGUGUGUCACGUCGAUCGUGAAAACUUUCAGCUUAACUGGGAGCUUGCGGUCGAUACGGGCAUCACUGGAGUUCGGCAGGGGAGACUGGAAUUCAAGGUGUAGCGGUGAAAUGCGCAGAUAUCUUGAGGAACACCGGUGGCGAAGGCGGUCUCUGGGCCGAUACUGACGCUGAGGAGCGAAAGCGUGGGGAGCGAACAGG